CAUAUAUGUAUGUAAAGAUGUGUGGUGUGUAUUACACACGUGUAUAGGUACAAAUCUUGAAAGAACACAAUGGGGGGGCCAGGCAUGGUGGCUCACACUUGUAGUCCCAACACUUUGGGAGGCUGAGGCAGGCAGAUCACUUCAGCCCAGGAGUUUGAGACCAGCCUGGGCAACAUAGUGAGAUCCUGUCUCUAAACAAAACAAAACAAAACAAAACAAAAGCCUGGCAUGGUAGUGCAUACCUGUUGUCUCAGCUACUCAGGAGGCUGAGGUGCGAGGACCGCUUGAACCUGGGAGGUUGAGGCUGCAGGGAGCCACGAUUUCGCCACUAUACUGUAACCUAGGUGAGGGAGGGAGAUCCUGUCUCAAAAAAACAAACAAAAAAACUAUAAAAGAAAGACAUUCAAUAAAACACAUCAGGAUUGAUGAUCAUGUAUAUACUGAUUUAUUCACAAAUAUUUAACGAGCUACUAUUAUCUAUGGAGUACUGUGCUAGAUACUGAAGGUACAAAGUGGGAAGAGAACAGAGUGAUCCCUUCUCUCAAGGCUUUAUAGCGUGUGAGAUUAGCAGAUGACAUCCAGUGAACCGCACCAUUGAGUGAGGCCUGGCUGCUAGUUAGAGAUCAACUGAAUCAGGAAGGAUAAUCAAUUGGUUUGCAGGGCUGGGCUGCAUGGAGGUAUCCAAGGCACAGAUGGAGCAGUAGCACCUUCCACAGGCCUGGGGCACACAGGGCCACUCAGCACGAGGGCCCAUCCCUGGCAAUGAACGUGCUCCUUGGAGAGAAAUCUCACAUCCCAGUAUUUCUGGAUCAUUGUGCCUAGAGACCAUAGUGGUAGGAGUGAUAUGGUUUGCCGUGUCCCCACCCAAAUCUGAACUUGAAUUGUAUCUCCUAGAAUUCCCAUGUGUUGUGGGAGGGGCCUAGGAGGAGGUAAUUGAAUCAUGGGGGCCCGUCUUUCCUGUGCUAUUUUCGGGAUAGUGAAUAAGUCUCACAAGAUCUGAUGGGUUUAUCAGGGGUUUCUGCUUUUGCUUCUUUCCCAUAUUCCCUUGCUGCUGCCAUGUAAGAAGUGCCUUUCAUUUCCCACCAUGAUUCUGAGGCCUCCCCAGCCAUAUGGAACUGUAAGUCCAAUUAAACCUCUCUUUCUUCCCGGUCUCGGGUAUGUCUUUAUCAGCAGUGCGAAAACGGACUAAUAUGAGGAGUCUGCCUACUGCAACCUUGAGUGAGGAUUCUCUGCAAGGACCUCAGUCCUCCAGGGAGAUUGGCUCCCUCUCUGUUCUGGAAAUGGCUUUGUUUUCAGCCCAAGUCCCUGGGGAUUUCCCAAUCUCAGUCUUUUCACUGCACAGAUCCUGCCCUAAGUAUUAUCACUGCUGCUGACUCAGAACCUUCAGAUAUGGGACAUCUAGUCAUUGGGUUCUACUUGGUUUCUGGGAUGUAUAUGGAUCCACAACAGUACGAGGUCCCUUGGAUGGCUUUGUUUGGGCACAUUCCAAGCCUGCUGGUGCCAUUUUCCCACACCAGUCAGAUAAGUGUGAGAAAAUGGCACCAGCAGGCUUCUAAUGCAGCCCACAGAUGGGCCACCUAUCAGCUGUUUGUCAGGUGUGUACAGAGCAGAUGGCUAGCCCUGUGUCAAAGGCCUGGGAGCACUAAGGCUCCCAGGAGAGCUCAGUGGCACCUGCUUGGUUCUUUGGAUGGGGAGCUUGCAUUUGACCCCUUUUCCACCUCCUCUUUCUCCUGUUCCCAACGUGUGUCCUGAAUUUCACAGAUUAGCAGAUCUAGUUAUCCCCACAGACAGAGAUGAGGGAGAAGUCCUCUGUUCUCACAGCCUGUUGAAUUUCCAUCUUUAGUCACCCUGUACCAUUGCCACAUCUGCAGACAUCCUAAAUUCUAAUAUAUUUUAAUGUUUUCUAUUUAUUUAUUUGUAUUUUUUUGAGAUGGAGUCUUG
rnacentral:lncRNA from 10 species